UAAUAGGACAAUCAGAUAUUAUCAAUAGACAAUGUUACCAUAUAUAUUGGUUUUUUGUACCAGAAGUAAUCAUCAAGUGCUGUUGCGAGUGCAGCCCCUGCAAGGCCAAUGUUGAGCAGUACUGCAACAAGAUGAUAUGGUCCUACAACGACAUCUACUCAGGCUGGCUUCGCUUCCACCAUGGUCAUCUACCACAAGUGACUUUUUGGAACUGAAAACUAAUCACCAGUUUCAACACUAUCUUGGAGCGUUCUAGGGAUAAUUUCUAUUGUUUCUUAAAGGGUUGGUCUGAACAAAGCUACAUAUACUUGAACUUCAGUUAUAUUUGAACUUUUCGAGUGCUCCGGUUCCUGAGCUACUGCUUGGUUUGAUUGAUCUGGGCGCGUCGAGGGAUCUGAGCGGUGGGAUUAGUCGAUCUAUCGAUGCUGUGUGGCUCCGUGACAUGUUUGUUGCGCGUCGUUGCUUACAGUCAGGGGCGGAUUUGGGACCAUAAGAGGGUCUACACUGAAGCUUGGAGGAACGGGCGGAUCUUGGCGGUGGCGGCAGCGCCAUGGAGUAAGUCUAUCGAGCAAACUCAUCGUCAUGGAGCCAUGCAAACUUGUCCUCUGCAUAAUCGAAGUAUGAGCAUUGUCUGAACAUGAAGGCACUUGAAUCUGAAGAACAUCUGGCAUUGGCACACCAGUCCAAAGCCAAAAUGACGAUAUAUUUUACUUACUGGAAAACAUUCUAGGUGUAUCAUAGCGAAGCAUCCCCUCACUUGAUUCCUGAAUCUUCUGAACAAGGGGUAUUUUCUGGAACAGGUGCUCCUGGAGACCCAACUUCAGCCUGAGGCCUUCCUUGUAUAGAUUAUCAACAUGGUGGAAGCCUUGGAAGCCGUGGGUCUCAGCUGACAUGGUUGCAAUCAUCGAUGGGAUAAGCGUGUGAAGUACUGCUCGCAGCCUCCGUGAUGAGAAGGCGCCUUGCUUCAGCUCCUCAAAUGCCUCAUCCUGAGGUACAUAUAUUCGGUGCGGUUUCUCUACUCUGCUCUCAGCUAGCAUGUCUACGAAGUGAAAAAUAGGGAUGCUUAGUCUUCCAAAUUUAAUGUAGUAAACAGCUUGAUCUAUAAUCUUAAAUCAAUAAUUUACCAUAAGAGUUGGUUGAUAAAAUUUAGUAAAACCCUCCAGUGGUAAAUCAUUACAGGCUAGAAACUCAAGUGUCAUUCAAAGGAUAGAAAAAAUCAAAUACUUCUUUCUUUACAUUAUUCUAUACUUUGUAGUCAAUAUCAUGGAGAGCAUCCAACAGCCAGAGGCAUAGUUCAGAAACGAUCCAUUUUCAUCGAUCACAGAAGUGCAAAAACUGAGGCACGUCAUGAGAGGGACUGUUAUAGGCACACUUAAUUGUUAACUAGUGUGUGGUCCAGUGUCUACACACCCUGUAUUCUUCCGAGGCUUCUCUUCUGAUCCGGCUAAUAUUUUUGCCGUGAAAUUUGUGUUCUGCAACUAUGGACAUCUCCUAUGUCGUUGUAUAAGGCUUGAUUUGCCAUCAUUCUGUUGCUUCGGUGAUGCUUGCAAUGCAAUGAGAAUGUGUUGGAACGAUAGAUGUUCUUGAUCGUGUUUUGCUUUGUUCCUAGUAGGCCAGCAAGGUAGCAUCAGCCUUGCCCUAAGUUGAAGGUUGUUUCCAUCUAUUUAUAUGUUGCAGUCAUCGAUCAAUCCAAUUAGCUAACUUGUUGUUUCUUUUUCAUAAACGAGUGUUUUGUGUGCCAUUGAAUACAGGUAAAAAUUAUCUUCUGCCUCUGCUACCGUCUCCUCUUCAGAUCCCUUUGCUUCCAAUGCCUCCUGGUUUCAUGACACGGAUCACUCCACUUCCAGUCUGACACCAUCCUGCAGCAGGGCUCCUUUUUUCAGGCUACCAAGAAAUAUACAUAGGUAUGAUCUUCUGCGUGUUCCUGACGGAGUCGAUGCGGCUGCGGAGCUCGCGGAGGGAGCACCACACCAUGAGGCCCGUGCGCGAGGCGGAGCGUCGCUGGGUGGAGGAGGCGCUGUUGGCGAGCGCCGAUGAGGACCAGGCGGUGGAGAGGUGGGAACACGACAUGACUACUGGCCCCCGGUAACGGGGAAAACGGAGGCAACAAGGAGCGGGCGGAACGGGAUGCCACCACAAGCAGCUCCUUGCCGCCACCUCCUACUUCGACAUGCUCAAUGACGCCUCUCGCAACCACGCGUACCGCCUCACCAUCGAUGCCACGGUCACGGACCCCACAUCCCGUGUCCUCGACAUCGGGUGAGCUGUGUCCCAUGCAAAGUUUGCUGAAAAUUACCGUAUGUACUCCUGUAGUCACUUUGUUAAAGGACUGGAAUUCUUGAUAUUUAUAUCGCCAAUAUAUUAUUAGUGUUACGGUGAUAUUUUGCCACGGAUUUUGCAUAUCAUAUUGAUGUUUGUCGU